rnacentral:pre_miRNA from 1 species
CGGUGUUGGGUAGAGUCAUAUGGAGUGAAAGAUGGGAAUUUCAUGUUGGAUUCUAUUCAUUCAAUUUUCCCUCUUUCAUUCCAUAUGUCAUCUAGCUAGCAUAUU